GUUUUACUCACCAAGGAAUCAGUCAAAGAAUGGGCUAUGAUCAUAUCUGUGUUGAGUUAGGUAAUAUGGUGGAAUACCUUCCAAGAAAUUUCCAAGUUGGCUUAUGUUUUGAGCCACGUAUCUAUGAAGAUCUUCACCGGCCCACACAGGGCAGAUGAGGAUGCAGACAGCCAGGCAAGUUGAUGCACCAAUGAGUAUGGUUACGAGCCUUGCUUGAGCCAACUCUAGAACUUCAUUCAUUCGAAGACCAGAUAUGGAAACCAGGCUAAAUGUCAUGACGAAUAUAAGCAUCCCAUAGUCAUAUUUGGCCUUCACUUUGGGAAAGAAUCGUACGAAAGUCAUGGCUACAGCUGCAAAGAUACAUGCUAUAUUGGUAAUGAGAUCAGGAGCUUAAGGGGUUGUAUCUUUCUUGCUGCAUAUUUACCUUGUAUGAAUACAAAUACUCCAAUCAGAUAUGGUUCGCAUUUUUUCCCAAUUAGGAUGGCCAAGUGAUGAGCUCCGAUAGCAAGAGCAGCAGCUGCUAAGGAUUAUGCUUGAGUUCAAGAAAUGUGGGAACAUACCGACUGAGAAUUCAAAGACAACCACCACAGUCAUGACAGCCCACAUUGCAGAGGCACCAAAGUUGUUGUACAGAGGCCGGAGGUAGUACAACAAUGAUACUAACGUUACUGUUUCUCGUGGAAUGAAGGAGGUAUGAAGCUGGCUCUGCAAUGAGAGUUGUAUGGGUUGAGUUACUUAUAUAGGAACAGAAUGUAUAGGAAUGUGACCAUAGGAAUCAGUUCAUUUGUGAAAAAGAAUGGUCUUUGUGGC